rnacentral:tRNA from 1 species
AGAGAAAGACGACUAAGGUAGAUUAUUAAGAAAGCUUAAAACUCGUUUUGUUCGGCUGUCAUUUUUUUUAUUAUACUAUAACAAACCUAAGUAGGAAGUAGAGUCUCGUAGCUCAGCUGGUUAGAGCGCUACACUGAUAAUGUAGAGGUCGGCAGUUCGAGUCUGCCCGAGACUACUUUUUUUUGUUUAGGGGGUUUAUAGAAAGGAAAUUCUAGAGGUUGGGAUUCCACAUUUAGUAUCUCAUCCUUACAGGAUAGACUUUACGGGGGAUUAGCUCAGCUGGCUAGAGCGCCUGCCUUGCACGCAGGAGGUCAUCGGUUCGACUCCGAUAUUCUCCACGGUUCUAUAGAAUAGGGUUAAUCGACAAAGCAUUUGUUAUCCAACAUUUAGUGCUUAGUUUGAUUAAUUUUAUUUGUUUUAACUAGAAAGACGUUCAUUGACAUAUUGAAAAUAGAUACAAAAAUAAAAACGUAUCAAUCAUAUUUAUAUAUAAUAUAAAACAUGGUUGUACGAGCAAAUAGAGUAAUUACAAAACUAAAAGAGAAAAGUUAC